CGCUCGUAGUUGGAUAUCUGCCAAGGAGUUUCGGUCCUCCCCAGUGGAGAAUACGCGGAACAUUUCUUGGCACUUGUUCAGGGAAGGUGUUUGCACUUUGUUGUGCGUCACGUGAUCUGAAUUUUUACUUUGAGGAAAUGAGAGUGUUUCAAGCAGGCUUUUGCCAUGAAUAUGAUAGCAUGGAAUAAUAGCACAGGACCCCUUUCCAAAGCUGUUGGUUUUUGGAACGAGGUAAUCAUAAUAAGGACAGUUGGGGGUAUUCGUAUUUAACUGUCAGAGGUGAAAUUCUUGGAUUUUUUAAAGACGAACUAUUGCGAAGGCAUCUGCCCAGGAUGUUUUUGUUGAUCAAGAACGAAAGUUAGGGGAUCGAAGACGAUCAGAUACCGUCCUAGUCUUAACCUUAAACUAUGCCGACUGGAGAUUGGAGUUGUCAGUCCUUGACGUCUUCAGCAUCCUGAGAGAAAUCUAAGUCUUUGGGUUCCGGGGGGAGUAUGGUCGCAAGGCUGAAACUUAAAGGAAUUGACGGAAGGGCACCACCAGGAGUGGAGCCUGCGGCUUAAUUUGACUCAACACGGGGAAACUUACCAGGUCCAGACAUAGAUAGGAUUGACAGACUGAUAGCUCUUUCUUAAUUCUAUGGGUGGUGGUGCAUGGCCGUUCUUAGUUGGUGGAGUGAUUUGUCUGGUUAAUUCCGUUAACGAACGAGACCUUAACCUGCUAAAUAGUUUCCAAAACUUCGGUUUUCGGCUUACUUCUUAGAGGGACUUCGUGUGUUUAACAUGAGGAAGUUUGAGGCAAUAACAGGUCUGUGAUGCCCUUAGAUGUCCUGGGCUGCACGCGCGCUACACUGAUGUGUCCAGUAAGCACCUAACCUCAUCCGAAGGGAUCGGGUAACCUUUGCAACGCACAUCGUGAUGGGGAUAGAUUAUUGCAAUUAUUAGUCUUGAACGAGGAAUUCCUAGUAAGCACAAGUCAUCAGCUUGUGUUGAUUACGUCCCUGCCCUUUGUACACACCGCCCGUCGCUCCUACCGAUUGAAUGGUCCGGUGAAUACUUCGGACUGUGAAAUGUUUAGUUUCUAUCCAUUUCACGGAAAG
rnacentral:rRNA from 1 species